rnacentral:rRNA from 1 species
UACGAAGGGGGGCUAGCGUUGCUCGGAAUGACUGGGCGUAAAGGGCGCGUAGGCGGAUGACACAGUCAGAUGUGAAAUUCCCGGGCUUAACCUGGGGGCUGCAUUUGAUACGUGUGAUCUGGAGUGAGGAAGAGGGUCGUGGAAUUCCCAGUGUAGAGGUGAAAUUCGUAGAUAUUGGGAAGAACACCGGUGGCGAAGGCGGCGACCUGGUCCUUUACUGACGCUGAGGCGCGAAAGCGUGGGGAGCAAACAGG